CCUACGGGUGGCUGCAGUGAGGAAUAUUGGUCAAUGGGCGAGAGCCUGAACCAGCCAAGUCGCGUGAGGGAGUACUGCCCUAUGGGUUGUAAACCUCUUUUUUCGGGGAGCAAAAGCCGGACGUGUCCGGCUGUGAGAUUACCCGAAGAUAAAGCAUCGGCUAACUCCGUGUCAGCAGCCGCGGUAAUACGGAGGAUGCGAGCGUUAUCCGGAUCUAUUUGGUUUAAAGGGUGCGCAGGCGGAGUUUUAAGUCUGCGGUAACAUCGUUGAGCUAAACCCCAUCCAGCCGUUGAAACUGGGGAUCUAGAGUGUGCGAGAGGUAUGCGGAAGGCGUGGUGGAGCGGUGAAAUGCAUAGAUAUCACGCAGAACCCCGAUUGCGAAGGCAGCAUACCGGUGCACAACUGACGCUCAGGCACGAAAGCGUGGGUAUCGAACAGGAUUAGAUACACCUGUAGUC
rnacentral:rRNA from 1 species